rnacentral:lncRNA from 1 species
UUAUGGUCACACUUUCACCACUUUAAUUCAUUUUUCCAUUUUUUUCUACUUUUUGUUUUGUUUUCUCUUGCAUUUUUUAAUCAAUUUAAUUUGUUCUUUUUUAAUGAUUUUAUAGAAUUUAGUUCUUGAUAUUUAAUUCAUUUCUAAUUUUACUUUUUGUCUUUUAUUUUUCCACGUUUGUUUCAAUUACACUUCAUUGUAAUACGCAAUUUUAUUAAUUAAUAAAGUGUGAUAUGCAUGUGGAUUUUUCACUGUUUCUUUGGCUUAUUUU